CGCAUUGCAUCGAGCUUUGCCCAAGCACGAUAUGCCCCAUUGAGCGUCCUUAAGUCUUUAGGAAUGUUUAUUUAUUUAUUCAUUACUAAGUUCGGGUUUCAUGGCUUAACAGCCACGUUACCUUAGAUGCAUUAUGCGCCGCACUAUAGUUGCGCUCCUUGUCGUACACUUCAAGGCGCUUCCUAAUGCGUUCCGCACUUACGCUAAUCACCCUCGGUGAAAAGCAGAACCGUGUUCGGUCUCCCCAGACAGUUCACCCUUCCUUGACUUAACCUCACGGGGGCAAGACGACCCGCUAGACUUAAGCAUAUUAAUCAGCGGAGGAAAAGAAACUAACAAGGAUUCCCCUAGUAACUGCGAGUGAAGAGGGAAGAGC
rnacentral:misc_RNA from 1 species